UUCCAGACUCCUACGGGAGGCAGCAGUGGGGAAUAUUGCGCAAUGGGGGGAACCCUGAUGCAGCGACGCCGCGUGGGUGAAGGAGCACCUCGGUGCGUAAAGCCCUAUCAGCAGGAAAGAAAAUGACGGUACCUGACUAAGAAGCCCCGGCUAACUACGUGCCAGCAGCCGCGGUAAUACGUAGGGGGCAAGCGUUAUCCGGAUUUACUGGGUGUAAAGGGAGCGUAGACGGCAGUGCAAGUCCGGAGUGAAAGCCCGGGGCUCAACCCUGGGACUGCUCUGGAAACUGUAAAGCUGGAGUGCGGGAGGGGCAGGCGGAAUUCCUGGUGUAGCGGUGAAAUGCGUAGAUAUUAGGAGGAACACCAGUGGCGAAGGCGGCUUACUGGACGGCAACUGACGCUGAGGCUCGAAAGCGUGGGGAGCAAACAGGAUUAGAUACCCCGGUAC
rnacentral:rRNA from 1 species